UACGAGGGGGGGCAAGCGUUGUUCGGAUUUAUUGGGCGUAAAGGGUGCGUAGGCGGUUUGGCAAGUCUGAUGUGAAAUCUAUGGGCUCAACCCAUAGUCUGCAUCAGAAACUGCCGGGCUUGAGUAUGGGAGAGGUGAGUGGAAUUUCCGGUGUAGCGGUGAAAUGCGUAGAUAUCGGAAGGAACACCUGUGGCGAAAGCGGCUCACUGGACCAUAACUGACGCUGAUGCACGAAAGCUAGGGGAGCAAACAGG
rnacentral:rRNA from 1 species